rnacentral:lncRNA from 1 species
AGGCGAUGUGAGAUUCUAGAGAUGGCUCCUACGGGUUCAAGAGGUGGCUCCCACCAAACCUGUUGGUGUAGCACUUUGCCCCGUAUAUCACUUAGCUCUCACAUUUCCGGCUGGUAUUCAGCUCUGACACUACAACAGAAUUGUCACGCCCCGGGGCCGAUUUAAAAGCCAUUACCAUUUUUAAAACUCAGAAUCGCGGAAGAUGUACCAUUUUUUUUUUUUCAACCUGGCCCACGUGACGUACAGACCCGCCACAAAUAUAAAGUUCCUCUGUCCACUCGGACAGAGUCUCCUUUGUAUUUGCACGGCGUACCAACGAUACAACAGGAUCUCAACUACAAUCUACAAUUACCAAUCAACAACCAAUUCAUGAUAUGCAUUUUCAUACAGCUAACAAUCCUUAGAAUGAUGCAUGCCUCUAAGCACUCCUUAGGCGCUGGAUGAUGCAAUGCACAGUACAACAAUCAUCCUAUUUAAAAGUGCUCCCCACACGGAAGCUUUUGUUUUUAAACUCUAAUUCAUUCAUUCAUAAAAACCAUUCGAAAACCUUUUUAAAACUGUUUCCCACACGGAAACUCUAUUUUGAAAACCAGCUACCUCGAGGGGUAGAAAUCCACGAUAUGUAAAUACAAGAAAAUCCGAUAUCCAUAAAANAAUCAACAUAUCCAAUCACAAACCUCAGUUUACAUGCAUAAAUAACGAAAGCAUCCACAGAUCUACCAAAACCAGAUCACCAACAUUCAAACAAUCAUAAAAAUCAGCUAACUGAACCAUAUAAACUAUCUAAGCUAUAUCAACAGGACAGUAAGGGUAGAAACUAAACCGAAUAACCUGGGUCGGAAGCUCUAUCGACCGCUACGUACGUAUCUCACGUCUCGCCUCAACUCUCACCGCCGACGGUACCUGAAAAAAUGGUGGGGGAGGUGAGAACAUGUAAACAUGUCUCCCCUCCCAGUGGGUACCACAAGCCGAUGAAGGCGGGGAGUACUCACCGGAUCAGGAAGAGAUAAACAACGGUACGGAUCGGUAGAAAAUACAGUAGCAAUAAUAAUGAAUGAAAGAGACAUGUAUAU